CGGGGUGUAGCUCAUAUGGUAGAGCGCUCGCUUCGCAUGCGAGGUGCACGGGGUUCGAUUCCCGGCACCUCCA
rfam:Oryza sativa Japonica Group DNA, chromosome 6, cultivar: Nipponbare, complete sequence.